GACGAAUUGUGGGCACUGAUCGCGAGCUUGAUGGAGGACGACUGUCCCACCGAAGAAAGGAUUCCUGCGGCCAGGAUACGGGGCUAUACGCCGAAAUUACCGUGCCCGCCCAAAGCACGGAAUCGUUCCGAAGACACUUCAGGCUACAGAAGUCUUCUUUUGAACGACCAGUAUUGCUGCUAGCGCCCAGCGUCAUGCCCGAAAUAAAAUGGGCAGCGACAGAAGCACCGAAGCAGUUCAUUUGGUGCCUUGCAAAUACGGAAAGUUUCAGCUAAACAACUCUCGCAAAUAGUAACACUGGUCAACAGUUGCAUGUGUACAUCACUGUUUGGAGAUGGUCAGGUAAUAUGAGUAAAAUUAUCAGGAAAAACCCGGAAAAGUCGGGGAAUUGUAAUAGUAAAGUUUGGUAGACACCCUG